rnacentral:tRNA from 1 species
UAGCUCAGCUGGAUAGAGCACCAGACUACGAAUCUGGGGGUCAGGAGUUCGAAUCUCUUCGGGUGCGCCA